rnacentral:rRNA from 1 species
CGAGAGNGGCCGGCCGCUCGAUUAGCCAGUUGGCGGGGUAACGGCCCACCAAAGCAACGAUCAGUAGCCGGCUUGAGAGAGCGAACGGCCACAUUAGGACUGAGACACGGCCCAAACUCCUACGGAAGGCAGCAG